rnacentral:rRNA from 1 species
GACGAACGCUGGCGGCGUGCUUAACACAUGCAAGUCGAACGGAAAGGCCCUGCUUUUGUGGGGUGCUCGAGUGGCGAACGGGUGAGUAACACGUGAGUAACCUGCCCUUGACUUUGGGAUACUUCAGGAAACUGGGGCUAAUACCGGAUAGGAGCUCCUGCUGCAUGGUGGGGGUUGGAAAGUUUCGGCGGUUGGGGAUGGACUCGCGGCUUAUCGGCUUGUUGGUGGGGUAGUGGCUUACCAAGGCUUUGACGGGUAGCCGGCCUGAGAGGGUGACCGGCCACAUUGGGACUGAGAUACGGCCCAGACUCCUACGGGAGGCAGCAGUGGGGAAUAUUGCACAAUGGGCGGAAGCCUGAUGCAGCAACGCCGCGUGCGGGAUGACGGCCUUCGGGUUGUAAACCGCUUUCGCCUGUGACGAAGCGUGAGUGACGGUAAUGGGUAAAGAAGCACCGGCUAACUACGUG